rnacentral:tRNA from 1 species
GAGAGUAUAGCUCAGUGAUAGAGUGCAUGCCUUGCAUGCAUGAGGUCCUGGGUUCAAUCCCCAGUACCUCCA